GCAACUACCACUCAGGGCCGGAAAGCUCUCCAAACUCGGUCAUUUAGAGGAAGUAAAAGUCGUAACAAGGUCUCCGUUGGUGAACCAGCGGAGGGAUCAUUACCGAGUUUAC
rnacentral:rRNA from 1 species